UUCGCCUCUUGUUAAGAUCAACUGUAGUAUAUGUUCUUAUUAAUUUAAUAUCUGAUAUUUGGGUUAAUAAUUCACAUCGUAUUAAAUCAAUGUUUUGAAGGGGAUGACCUGAAAGUAGUCUGAAACAAUAGCUUUCUAUUGAGGUCUUCAACCGUUGGCUAUGCGUGUUGUGCGGAAGCGGCUAACAA